GCCCGUGUGGCUCAGUUGGUAGAGCAUGGUGUUUGCAACGCCAGGGUUGUGGGUUCGAUUCCCAUGGGUG
rnacentral:tRNA from 1 species